rnacentral:rRNA from 1 species
UACAGAGGUGGCAAGCGUUGUUCGGAAUUACUGGGCGUAAAGGGCGCGUAGGCGGGUGCUCAAGUCCGUGGUGAAAUCCUCCGGCUCAACCGGAGAACUGCCUCGGAUACUGGGCGUCUCGAGUGUGGUAGGGGUAUGCGGAACUAUCGGUGGAGCGGUGAAAUGCGUUGAUAUCGAUAGGAACUCCGGUGGCGAAGGCGGCAUACUGGACCACCACUGACGCUGAUGCGCGAAAGCCAGGGGAGCAAACGGG